AAAAUUAUUAUGGAGAUAGUGAAUUUUCCGACUAGGUUAUUGUUCCCCGUUUCUACCUCGAAUUCCACCGUCCCUGUGAGUUCUGUUGUAGCAAUCGAAUAGGUACUAACUAUUUCGUGCUGUGAGUGAGUGUGAGGAUUGUUGAAUCGAAUCGCGAAACUCUUACUUACACCCCUCUCUGUUUUUCUAUUCACAAGGGUUUUGAAAGAUGGCGGUUGAAAAUCCCGAGGAUGGAUUGAAGAAGCUGGAAUACUUGUCGCUGGUGUCGAAGGUGUGCACCGAGUUGGAGUCCCACACCGGCACCGGCGACAAGGUUCUUGCGGAGUUCAUCACUGAGUUGGGUCGAUCAUCGGAGAAUGUUGAGGAAUUCGACGAGAAAUUGAAGGAGAAUGGCGCGGAGAUGCCGGAUUACUUUGUGCGAACGCUCCUCACCAUCAUCCACGCCAUUCUCCCUCCGAAGCCGAUGGAUUCGAAGAAGGAGAAAGACAGUGUCAACGGCAAGACCACCAAGUUCAAGGCUCUGGCCAUCGCGGACGACAGGGACCGGGCCAAGGAGCUUCAGAAGGAGUUAGAAUCCGAGGCCAGAGAAAAGCAGAAGCCAGAAAUUGAGGAAGAUGAUGAUGGGUACCGAGACAGGGAUAGAAGAGAUAGGCGCAGAGAUAGGUAUGAAGAUGAUAGAAGGGAUUAUGGCAGAAGAGGCAGAGAUAGAGAUGAUGAAGAUGAUAGAAGGGAUUAUGGCAGAAGAGGAAGAGAUAGAGAUGAUGAAGAUGAUAGAAGGGAUUACGGCAGAAGAGGAAGAGAUAAAUAUGACAGGGAUAGAGAUAGAUAUGAGAGGCGCAGGAGAGAUGAACAUGAAGAAGAGCAUGGGCGUGGAAGGGAGAAUGGGGAUAGAGAUGGUAAUAGGAAGGGUUUACAGCACGGUUCUGGUGAACUUGAAUUAUAUGCAGUUUAUAAAGGGAGAAUCUCCAGAGUAAUGGAGACUGGGUGCUUUGUACAGUUGGAUGACUUCAGAGGGAAGGAGGGGUUGGUCCAUGUCUCACAGAUGGCCACCCGGAGGAUUACCAAUGCCAAAGAUGUUGUCAAGCGUGAUCAAGAAGUGUAUGUAAAAGUGAUCUCAGUUUCAGGCCAGAAGUUGUCUCUUUCCAUGAGAGACGUUGAUCAACAUACCGGUAAAGAUCUCCUUCCACUGAAGAAGAGCUCUGAGGAUGAUGCGUUGAGGAUGAAUCCGCAGGAUUCAAAAGAUGGGCCUGUUGCCAGGACGGGUCUUUCAGGUAUCAGGAUCGUGGAAGAAGGUGAUGUUGGUUCUUCGCGGAGACCUCUGAAAAGAAUGAGCUCUCCUGAGAGAUGGGAAGCAAAACAGUUGAUUGCUUCGGGUGUCUUGAGUGUUUCAGAGUAUCCAACUUACGAUGAUGAGGGGGAUGGAUUGCUGUACCAAGAGGAAGGCGCAGAGGAGGAGCUUGAGAUUGAGUUGAAUGAAGAUGAGCCUGCAUUCUUGCAAGGGCAGAGCAGAUACUCGAUGGAUAUGUCUCCUGUUAAGAUUUUUAAGAAUCCAGAAGGUUCUCUGGGUCGAGCUGCUGCACUCCAGUCUGCACUUAUAAAGGAGCGUAGGGAAGUGCGAGAACAACAACAACGCACAAUGCUUGAUUCAAUUCCAAAGGAUCUCAAUCGACCUUGGGAAGACCCUAUGCCAGAGUCAGGUGAAAGGCAUCUUGCCCAGGAGCUUAGGGGUGUUGGUUUAUCAGCCUAUGAUAUGCCGGAAUGGAAGAAGGAUGCCUAUGGGAAAACCAUUACCUUUGGGCAAAGGUCAAAGCUUUCUAUUCAGGAGCAGAGGCAGAGUUUGCCAAUUUACAAGUUAAAAAAGGAAUUGAUUCAGGCUGUGCAUGAUAAUCAGGUCUUGGUGGUUAUUGGAGAAACUGGUUCAGGUAAGACUACUCAAGUCACACAGUAUCUUGCUGAAGCGGGCUACACCACAAGAGGCAAAAUUGGAUGUACUCAACCCCGUAGGGUGGCUGCAAUGUCAGUUGCAAAGAGAGUCGCAGAAGAGUUUGGUUGUCGAUUGGGAGAGGAAGUUGGUUAUGCCAUUCGGUUUGAGGAUUGCACUGGACCAGAUACCGUUAUCAAGUACAUGACGGAUGGUAUGCUUCUUAGGGAAAUAUUGGUUGAUGAGAAUCUGUCACAGUAUUCUGUUAUAAUGCUUGAUGAAGCCCAUGAAAGAACAAUACAUACUGAUGUUCUUUUUGGACUGCUGAAGCAGCUAGUGAAGCGUAGACCUGAAUUAAGAUUGAUUGUCACAUCUGCUACUCUGGAUGCCGAGAAAUUUUCAGGAUAUUUCUUUAACUGCAACAUCUUUACUAUUCCUGGUAGAACUUUUCCUGUGGAAAUACUAUACACUAAACAGCCUGAAAGUGAUUAUUUAGAUGCAGCUUUAAUCACUGUCCUACAGAUCCACUUGACAGAGCCUGAGGGAGACAUUCUUCUCUUUUUGACUGGUCAAGAAGAGAUUGAUUUUGCUUGCCAAUCUCUCUAUGAGAGAAUGAAAGGAUUAGGUAAGAAUGUUCCAGAGCUAAUCAUUUUACCGGUUUAUAGUGCCCUUCCUAGUGAAAUGCAGUCUAGGAUAUUUGAUCCUGCUCCUCCUGGGAAAAGGAAAGUGGUAGUGGCUACUAACAUUGCUGAGGCUUCUUUAACUAUUGAUGGGAUAUUUUAUGUGAUUGAUCCUGGAUUUGCUAAGCAAAAUGUUUAUAACCCGAAGCAAGGACUUGAUUCUUUGGUGAUAACUCCAAUUUCACAAGCAUCAGCCAAACAAAGAGCUGGACGUGCAGGGCGUACUGGACCUGGGAAGUGUUAUCGCCUCUACACUGAGAGUGCUUAUAGGAAUGAGAUGUCUCCUACUACAAUUCCUGAGAUUCAAAGGAUAAAUCUGGGGAUGACUACGCUUAAUAUGAAAGCUAUGGGGAUAAAUGAUCUGCUGUCUUUUGAUUUUAUGGAUCCACCAUCACCCCAAGCCUUGAUUUCUGCCAUGGAGCAGCUUUACAGUCUUGGAGCAUUGGAUGAAGAGGGCCUUUUAACUAAAUUAGGGAGGAAAAUGGCAGAAUUUCCUUUGGAUCCACCGUUGUCUAAGAUGUUGCUUGCCAGCGUGGACCUUGGAUGCAGUGAUGAGAUUUUGACCAUAAUUGCCAUGAUCCAGACCGGAAAUAUUUUUUACAGGCCAAGGGAAAAGCAAGCCCAAGCCGAUCAGAAGAGGGCAAAGUUUUUUCAGCCAGAGGGUGACCAUCUUACCCUACUUGCAGUUUAUGAGGCCUGGAAAGCCAAGAAUUUUUCUGGACCCUGGUGUUUUGAAAACUUCGUUCAAUCCCGAUCAUUGAGAAGAGCACAGGAUGUCAGGAAACAACUUCUCACCAUUAUGGAUAAGUACAAAUUGGAUGUUGUAAGUGCGGGAAAAAACUUCACCAAAGUCAGGAAGGCUAUCACUGCAGGGUUCUUUUUCCAUGCUUCUAGAAAGGACCCCCAGGAAGGUUACAGAACCCUUGUUGAGAACCAGCCUGUGUAUAUCCAUCCAAGUUCAGCUCUGUUCCAGAGACAACCAGACUGGGUCAUCUACCAUGAGCUUGUGAUGACAACUAAGGAAUAUAUGCGUGAGGUCACUGUCAUAGACCCCAAAUGGCUUGUUGAAUUGGCUCCAAGAUACUUCAAAGUGGCAGAUCCUACAAAGAUGAGCAAGCGAAAGCGUCAAGAGCGAAUUGAACCACUUUAUGACAGAUACCAUGAGCCAAAUUCAUGGCGUUUGAGUAAACGUCGUGCAUAAUAUGUUUGUUUGGGAAGUAGUAAUUAUUAAGAGGAUAUCUGAAGCUUGGGUAGAAUAGCAUCGUUGAAGUUUGUGUAUGUGAACUUUCCAAUUGGCUGUAUUAUUUGUUAGACUCAAGAAAAUUACAUACACAAACCAGGUAGUUUUAUUUAUAUAUUUUCUGGGUGAAACUAGAAAAAAUGUUGCAAUAGAUAACAGACAGUAAAAGAGUACAGAAAAAAGUCCCUCACAGAAUAACCUGUCUCAGUACACAAUAUUAGGCUGAAGCCCUAGCAGAUUGUUCCUCUCUCAAUCACACUCACAAUACAAUCCCCACACUGAAUGCAGAAACUGACAUGCUAUAUACAUAAGAGACACACACGUAACUGUAAAAUAGUUACUAAACACAACUGCCCUAAAGUUACUGAACACAUACAUAACUGCCAUACUGUUCACAUAACUGUUCUAUCAGUAUUUAUAGAGUGACAGUUAUUGCAUUGAUCAUUAGCAUUUAACUUGACUCUUAUGGCUGUGCAUCUGAAACUUGGGCAGAUUAUUCACAUUGAACAUCACUAUUGAACUCAAACAAAGUUUGUUCAACUUGACAAUGAUUAUCUACAUUCAUAAACUGACAUAAAUUUCGUCAUUCUUUGAUGAAAAUGGGUUUUCUUAUUGCCUCUUCCAGGUCUUCAAAUGUAUUAAAUCAUUUGUAAUCAUUGGAUUUUUAAUGUUGCCUAUCCUUGUUUUCUAGCGUGGUCUUAAUGAGAAUGUUCUCACAUUGUAUUUUGGACACUUGGUUUCCUACCGAAAUCCAGCCCUCCUUAUUGUUGGAGUAUCUUCCAUUUGUGCUCUUGAUUUCCUUACAGAUAUGGGAAGUAGAUGUGACCAUAACUGGCUCCCAGAAAGCUCUUGAUAAAUUUGCUAACUGCACUUAAUAGUUGUGUGUGUGUGUGUGUGUGUGUGUGUAUAUAUAUAUAUAUAUAUGAUUAUACCAUUAUGGCUUCGUGUCAAAAUUUUGUAUGUUUUCAGACUUUGAUAUAUUGUUUGUGGUCCUGUCCUUACAAAAACAAAGGAAGAGAAAAACAAAAAGCAGCAUACGUCCAUGUUCCUUUCAGGUGGUUGUAAUGUAAAAUAAUGGCACAGUAUUGUUGGUUACUGACUGUUUUGAUAAAACUUGAGAUGGAAAAUUAAGCAGCAAGUCUGUAAUGUUUGAGUAUUAUGUAUUCGGAGACCUAUAAAAUGACACAGACUAAGAAAAGGAUUACAGGCGAAGAAUAGAGACACUUGAAAGAAAAGCAAAACAGCUUGCCCACUUCUGCAGCUUUUAACUUCAAAAGUACCCUUGUGGUGUACCAGAUUAAGUUCUAUCAAUAUCCAUCUUGUGUCUGAAGUUCUGGUUCAGUUGAAAAUGAGGAAGGGAAGAUAUUUCUGCAAAAGAAUCUGUCUGCUUGAAUUGGGAGAAAGGUGCUGAUACCCUUCAAAUGGAGUGCACCUGCAAAGGUGAACUUGCACUGGGCAUAUCAAGAGUGUGCAGUUAAAUUGUUUAACAUUAAAGAGAUCAUGUGAUGUGUGCAAUCAAGCAGUUCAGAACCUACCUGUUAGUGACAUGAUGUGUUUUUAUAACAGACUGCUCAUUUGAUGUAUUAUUGGGAACCUCAUUGUCUGUAAUUGUAGGAUCAGUACUGGUUAGUUAUUAGUUACCUACUGAUUACAAGUGUCAGUUGCAUAGAAAGGUUGCGUGAGGCUCAUUUUGAAAGAAGGCCAAGUUCAGAACAUGUGAUGUAUUUUUCUUCAUUUGUUUAUUUUCAUAGCGCAAAACUGUCAAGACUAGUGCCUUUGUUUGUAGGCCAUGCAAGGAUGAGAUCAAUAAUUGUAGUAUUGAGUUUGAUGCUUAGCACUAAAUUAUUGAUAUGGCUACUCUGUCUCUGCUAUUUGGCCAGUUUGGCAUAACUGUUGGUUCUUCUGCAUAUCCUAUUUCCUCUACCAUCUCUCUCUUAAAUGGUAGUAAGAAUACCUGAGUUUUAAGAAUUUUACAUGGACUUCUUUUGUUGUAUGCAGUCGCAAUUUGGUGCAUAGCUCUUAUCACAGGUCGGAUUUCAGCACCAUUUGUUUUGUUCAAAAGCUAACACACAAAGCUUUCAGAUGGUAUAACUUUCGGAUUCGUUUUCCAUGCAAGUCAACAUUCCAAACCCAAACCUGUUUACUGCAUAAUGCCCCAUAUGAAAGCAAAGCAAUUGUUCCUUCAAUUUAGGAGUGAGAGUGGGUUAGGGUUAUUUUGGAACUAAGGAGUACAAAAACUAUUGAAUGUCUUUUAAUUUUAAUUAAUAUGUAAAUAAUUGAUUCUCUUCACGAUUUAUUGUUGUAUUUGACUUUUAGCUUUGGCUUGUUUAUU